GCCUGAGUGGCUCAGUCGGUUGAGCAUCCGACUUCGGCUCAGGUCAUGAUGUCAUGGUCUGUGAGUUCCAGCCCCGCAUCAGGCU
rnacentral:tRNA from 1 species